rnacentral:rRNA from 1 species
ACAGGAUUAGAUACCCUGGUAGUCCACGCCGUAAACUUUUGCUCACUCGCUGUUUGCGAUAGACAGUCAGCGGCCAAGGGAAACCGAUAAGUGAGCCACCUGGUGAGUACGGCCGCAAGUUUGAAACUCAAAGGAAUUGACGGGGGCCCGCACAAGCGGUGGAACAUGUGGUUUAAUUCGAUGAUACGCGAGGAACCUUACCUGGGCUUAAAUGUGAAGUGCAUUGAUUGGAAACAAUCAUUUCCUUCGGGACCCUUUACAAGGUGCUGCAUGGCUGUCGUCAGCUCGUGCCGUGAGGUGUCGGGUUAAGUCCCAUAACGAGCGCAACCCCUAUUGUUAGUUACCAGCGCGUGAUGGCGGGGACUCUAGCGAAACUGCCGGUGUAAACCGCGAGGAAGGUGGGGAUGACGUCAAAUCAGCACGGCCCUUAUGUCCAGGGCUACACACGUGUUACAAUGGCCGGUACAGCGGGCAGCUAGGCAGCGAUGUCAUGCUAAUCCCGAAAGCCGGUCCCAGUUCGGAUUGGAGUCUGCAACCCGACUCCAUGAAGGUGGAAUCGCUAGUAAUCGCGCAUCAGCCAUGGCGCGGUGAAUACGUUCCCGGGCUUUGUACACACCGCCCGUCAAGCCAUGGAAGUCUGGGGUGC